rnacentral:rRNA from 1 species
CCAAAAACAUAGCCCUUAAAAAAAUUAAAGGUGAAACCUGCCCAAUGAUUUAAUAAUUUACACUUAAAAGAUAAAUAAAAAAUUAAAUGGCUGCAGUAACCAUGACUGUAAAAAUGUAGCAUAAUAAUUCGCCACUUAAUUAGUGGAUAGUAUGAAUGGUUAAACGAAAAUUCCACUGUCUUAUAAAAUACAAUAAAAAAUUUAAAUCAUAGUUAAGAUGCUAUGUAAAACUGUAAGACGAAAAGACCCUAUAAAGCUUAACUAUAAAUCUUAACAUUUUAAUAUUAAAACUAAUAAAAAUCAUUAAGAUUUGGUAGUUUCAUUGGGGCGAUGAUCUCUAAAAAUAAACAGAGAUAAACUAAUUUAAUAAUAAAAUUUACUGUAUAAUUAAUAAAUUUAACAGUUACAAAGUAGGGUAUAAUGACCCAUUAUUCUAAUUAAAAAAAAAAAUAAUGAACAAUAAAUAAAAGCUACUUUAGGGAUAACAGGAUAAUAAUUUCUUAGAGACCCAAUCGAAGAAAAAGUUUAUCACCUCGAUGUUGAAUUAAGAUAACCUAAUGACGCAGCAGUAAUUAAAGGUAGGUC